CUACGUGCCAGCAGCCGCGGUAAUACGGAAGGUCCGGGCGUUAUCCGGAUUUAUUGGGUUUAAAGGGAGCGUAGGCUGGAGAUUAAGUGUGUUGUGAAAUGUAGACGCUCAACAUUUAACUUGCAGCGCGAACUGUCAGACUUGAGUACACGCAACGUAUGCGGAAUUCAUGGUGUAGCGGUGAAAUGCUUAGAUAUCAUGAAGAACUCCGAUUGCGAAGGCAGCAUACGGGAGUGUAACUGACGCUUAAGCUCGAAGGUGCGGGUAUCGAACAGGAUUAGAUACCCUGGUAGUCCGCACAGUAAACGAUGGAUGCCCGCUGUUAGCGCCUGGCGUUAGCGGCUAAGCGAAAGCAUUAAGCAUCCCACCUGGGGAGUACGCCGGCAACGGUGAAACUCAAAGGAAUUGACGGGGGCCCGCACAAGCGGAGGAACAUGUGGUUUAAUUCGAUGAUACGCGAGGAACCUUACCCGGGCUUGAAUUGCAGAGGAAUUAUUUAGAGAUA
rnacentral:rRNA from 1 species